rnacentral:rRNA from 1 species
ACGGGAGGCAGCAGUGGGGAAUAUUGCACAAUGGGCGCAAGCCUGAUGCAGCGAUGCCGCGUGAGGGAAGAAGGUUUUCGGAUUGUAAACCUCUGUCAACAGGGACGAAAAUGACUGUACCUGUGAAGGAAGCUCCGGCUAACUACGUGCCAGCAGCCGCGGUAAUACGUAGGGAGCGAGCGUUGUCCGGAAUUACUGGGUGUAAAGGGAGCGUAGGCGGGAUGGCAAGUCAGAUGUGAAAACUAUGGGCUUAACCCAUAGACUGCAUUUGAAACUGUCGUUCUUGAGUGAAGUAGAGGUAAGCGGAAUUCCUGGUGUAGCGGUGAAAUGCGUAGAUAUCAGGAGGAACAUCGGUGGCGAAGGCGGCUUACUGGGCUUUUACUGACGCUGAGGCUCGAAAGCGUGGGGAGCAAACAGGAUUAGAUACCCUGGUA